rnacentral:rRNA from 1 species
GACGAACGCUGGCGGCGUGCUUAACACAUGCAAGUCGAACGGAAAGGCCCUGCUUUUGUGGGGUUCUCGAGUGGCGAACGGGUGAGUAACACGUGAGUAACCUGCCCUUGACUUUGGUAUAAUUUCAGGAAACUGGGUCUAAUACCGGAUAGGAGCUCCUGCUGCAUGGUGGGGUUUGGAAAGUUUCGGCGGUUGGGGAUGGACUCGCGGCUUAUCAGCUUGUUGGUGGGUUAGUGGCUUACCAAGGCUUUGACGGGUAGCCGUCCUGAGAGGGUGACCGGCGAAAUUGGGACUGAGAUACGGCACAGACUCCAACGGGAGGCAGCAGUGGGGAAUAUUGCACAAUGGGCGGAAGCCUGAUGCAGAAACGCAGCGUGCGGGAUGACGGCCUUCGGGUUGUAAACCGCUUUCGCCUGUGACGAAGCGUGAGUGACGGUAAUGGGUAAAGAAGCACCGGCUAACUACGUG